rnacentral:lncRNA from 1 species
CCAAAUAUCAAACCCUGAAUUAGAAAAUUUGCACAACCUGAAUUAGAAAAUUUGCACAACCUGAAUAUCAACCUAUCAAACCCUGAAUUAGAAAAUUUGCACAAUCUGAAUUAGAAAAUUUGCACAACCUGAAUAUCAACCUCAAUUAUCUAUUCAACGUAAAACUAUCCCUAAGAUAUGCACAACCCAGCAGUAGAAAACUAGAAAUAUUGGAGAAAUGCUCAGCAGUAGAAACAUUGGAGAACAAUAAUCAAAUAGCAAAUAUCCAAAUAAUCAAAUUAAUAGUUCAUAAAUUCUAAAAUUCUUUAAUAGCAACUAAAAAUUCUUUAACAACAUGCACAUAAGGCUCUUGAUUAUCAAAAAAUUUGAUUGCAAACCUAAAGAGAAUUCCAGCCAAAGGAGAUGUCGCCGACGCAGAUUGUGGAGAGGCAAGGGUUGUCUCCAGCAGUCGUCAGUGAAGUGGAGAGAGAAGCGUCAAUCGGAAAGAGUAGAUGUUACCGACUGAGGAGAGAGAAGGAG